GAUGAACGCUGGCGACGUGCCUAAUACAUGCAAGUCGAGCGAACGGACGAGAAGCUUGCUUCUCUGAUGUUAGCGGCGGACGUGUGAGUAACACGUGGAUAACCUACCUAUAAGACUGGGAUAACUUCGGGAAACCGGAGCUAAUACCGUAUAAUAUUUUGAACCGCAUGGUUCAAAAGUGAAAUACGGUCCUGCUGUCACUUAUAGAUGGUUCCGCGCUGCAUUAGCUUGUUGGUAAGGUAACGGCUUACCAAGGCAACGAUGCAUAGCCGGCCUGAGAGGGUGAUCGGCCACACUGGAACUGAGACACGGUCCAGACUCCUACGGGAGGCAGCAGUAGGGAAUCUUGGGCAAUGGGCGCAAGCCUGACCGAGCAACGCCGCGUGAGGGAUGAAGGUCUUCGGAUCGUAAAACGCUGUUAUUAGGGAAGAACCGGUGUGUGAGAAACUCGGGAGCUAUUGACGGUACCUAAACAGAAAGCACCGGCUAACUACGUG
rnacentral:rRNA from 1 species